rnacentral:rRNA from 1 species
GACGAACGCUGGCGGCGUGCUUAACACAUGCAAGUCGAACGGAAAGGCCCUGCUUUUGUGGGGUGCUCGAGUGGCGAACGGGUGAGUAACACGUGAGUAACCUGCCCUUGACUUUGGGAUAACUUCAGGAAACUGGGGCUAAUACCGGAUAGGAGCUCCUGCUGCAUGGUGGGGGUUGGAAAGUUUCGGCGGUUGGGGAUGGACUCGCGGCUUAUCAGCUUGUUGGUGGGGUAGUGGCUUACCAAGGCUUUGACGGGUAGCCGGCCUGAGAGGGUGACCGGCCACAUUGGGACUGAGAUACAGCCAAGACUCCUACGGGAGGCAGCAGUGGGGAAUAUUGCACAAUGGGCGGAAGCCUGAUGCAGCAACGCCGCGUGCGGGAUGACGGCCUUCGGGUUGUAAACCGCUUUCGCCUGUGACGAAGCGUGAGUGACGGUAAUGGGUAAAGAAGCACCGGCUAACUACGUG